rnacentral:sRNA from 1 species
UAAACAACGCGUCUUUGGAGACACUCGAU